rnacentral:rRNA from 1 species
AAUAGAUACCCGGGUAGUCCUAGCCGUAAACGAUACUCGCUAGGUGUCGGCCACGGUGCGACCGUUGUCGGUGCCGUAGGGAAGCCGUGAAGCGAGCCACCUGGGAAGUACGGCCGCAAGGCUGAAACUUAAAGGAAUUGGCGGGGGGAGCACCACAACGGGGUGGAGCUUGCGGUUUAAUUGGAUUCAACGCCGGAAAUCUUACCGGGACCGACAGCAACAUAAAGGCCAGGCUGAAGACUUUGCCGGAUUAGCUGAGAGGUGGUGCAUGGCCGUCGUCAGUUCGUACUGUGAAGCAUCCUGUUAAGUCAGGCAACGAGCGAGACCCACGCCCACAGUUGCCAGCGUACUCUCCGGAGUGACGGGUACACUGUGGGGACCGCCGCUGCUAAAGCGGAGGAAGGAAUGGGCAACGGUAGGUCAGUAUGCCCCGAAUAUCCCGGGCCACACGCGAGCUACAAUGGUUGGUACAAUGGGUAUCUACCCGAAAGGGGACGGAAAUCUCCUAAAACCAAUCUUAGUUCGGAUUGAGGGCUGCAACUCGCCCUCAUGAAGCUGG